AAAAAAUCCUGUCGAAACUAUAUGCGCUACUGAAUGCAGUAGAUACAAACAGACACGGAGACUUUAGAGAUGCCUGGCAGAAAGACAUAGGACGCCCAAUAGCAGACCUAGACUGGAAACAGGCAUUCCAAACACACAAAGGGCACACAUCAUGCGCGACUCACCUAGAAACAAUGAGGAAAAUUAUGUACAGAUGGUAUAUGGUCCCGGACAAACUAGCGAAACUAUACCCGGGAAGCUCAGGGGAAUGCUGGAGGAGUUGCGGAGAAAGGGGGACAAUGUACCACAUUUGGUGGACGUGCCCGAUAAUCACUCCCUACUGGGAGAUGGUGGAAGAGAUAAUCACUGACAUGAUAGGCCGCCCUUACAGCUUGGGGCCUGAACAGGGCAUACUAUUCAUGCAUUUUGCC